rnacentral:lncRNA from 1 species
GAAUGUGAGGAAGAUCUUGAUGGAAUCCUCUCUCCAGAAAAUAUCGUUGAUGAAGAGGAGACAAAGCAGGAUGAAGAGAAACAGAACGUGAGAACAACUAGCAUUACUGAAAUAAAUACAGACUUUAACAUUAAAGAUACCAGAGGAAAAGGUCAUAAUUUUCUACAUAUGCACAAUCAAAUCCCUUCAGCAGAUAGUGUCUCGAUUCCCAAAAACCGAGACCAGGGUCAACAAGACUCGCUUAGACAGCCAGAGACCAAAAGGAAAUUCAAAUUCAAAUUCCCCAAAAACAAACUGGCUGCAAUUAGCCAGGCCAUUCGUACAGGGAUGCCCAAAAAAGGAAAGAAGACUCUCAAGGUUGUUGUUUAUGAGGAAGAGGAGGAAAAAGCAUCGGACAGCAAGCCAGUGAAGGAGACCAAGAAGCCAACAAAAGAAUCCAAGAGGGACAGGACUCAGCUUAAAGGCAAAGUCAAACGAGAGAGGGAGAGAAGCCCAUCCAAGAGGCCAGCGUCUCAGACCCUCAAGGGCCCAAAUCCACCUCAGAGUAAGAGAGCCAAGCCCCAACCUCUACACAACUCAGGGAAAACCUCCACCAAGAAACAGACCUCCAGCAGCAGCUCCAGCUCUUCUGCCCAGCAAUCCCACACCAAAUCUCGCCACUCUUCUUCCUCUAGCUCACCAGAGAAGACACCUAGGGGCCAGCAGCAGGCCACCCAAAAGCAGCGCAGCCAGCCACGUCUUGUCGUCAUCCCACGCUAA